rnacentral:rRNA from 1 species
UACGGGGGGGGCAAGCGUUGUUCGGAAUUACUGGGCGUAAAGGGUGCGUAGGCGGCGCGGUAAGUCGGGUGUGAAAUCUUGGAGCUUAACUCCGAAACUGCAUUCGAUACUGCCGUGCUUGAGGACUGGAGAGGAGACUGGAAUUUACGGUGUAGCGGUGAAAUGCGUAGAUAUCGUAAGGAAGACCAGUGGCGAAGGCGGGUCUCUGGACAGUUCCUGACGCUGAGGCGCGAAAGCUAGGGGAGCGAACGGG